UAGUCCUGCAGUGUAAACAUUGCAGUUUAUUUUAAAACUGCAAUGUUUUACAUUGCAGGACUA
rnacentral:miRNA from 1 species